rnacentral:rRNA from 1 species
GGGUCAGUAGGUUGGUCGUGUCACCGGUACGUACUGGUCUCAAUGAUUCCUCCUUCCUGAAGAACCGUAAUGACAUUAAUUUGGUGUUGCGGGGAAACAGGACUGUUACUUUGAAAAAAUUAGAGUGUUUAAAGCAAGAUAACGCUUGAAUACAUUAGCAUGGAAUAAUGAAAUAGGACGAUCGAUCCUAUUUUGUUGGUUUCUAGGAUUGACGUA